UACGUAGGGGGCAAGUGUUGUCCGGAAUCAUUGGGCGUAAAGAGCGCGUAGGCGGCCCAGUAAGUUCGCUCUGAAAGUCAGGGGCUCAACCCCUGGAUGCGGGUGGAUACUGCUGGGCUAGAGUCCGGAAGAGGUGAGUGGAAUUCCUGGUGUAGCGGUGAAAUGCGCAGAUAUCAGGAGGAACACCGGUGGCGAAGGCGGUUCUCUGGGCCUGUACUGACGCUGAGGAACGAAAGCGUGGGGAGCGAACAGG
rnacentral:rRNA from 1 species